GCCUCUGUGGAUUAACGUGAGAUCACCUUUCUCAAGUUUAAGGUUUGCAUGCAUGCCAUUUGCAGGAGGAGAUGUGGGUUCGAUUCCCGCCAGCGGCC